rnacentral:rRNA from 1 species
AACGAACGCUGGCGGCAUGCUUAACACAUGCAAGUCGAACGGUAACAGGCCCUUCGGGGUGCUGACGAGUGGCGCACGGGUGAGUAACGCGUAGGAACCUAUCCAUAGGUGGGGGACAACAUUCGGAAACGGAUGCUAAUACCGCAUAUCCUCUACGGAGGAAAGACUUCGGUCGCCUUAGGCGGGUCCUGCGUCGGAUUAGCUAGUUGGUGGGGUAAAGGCCCACCAAGGCGACGAUCCGUAGCUGGUCUGAGAGGAUGAUCAGCCACACUGGGACUGAGACACGGCCCAG